rnacentral:tRNA from 1 species
AAUUUUAUAAUAAAAUUAUUUAAAAUUUAAUAUUAUAAAAAAAAUAUAAAUAUUAUUUUUAUAAUUAUAAAUUAUUAUAUUAAGUAUUUAUUAUUUUUAUUUAUAUUAAAUAUAAUUAUAAUUAAUAAGCUAAUUAUAUUAUUUUAUAAAAAGGUUAAAUAUAAAUUUAAUAUUUUAAAAAAAAUAAUAUUAGAUUAAAAGUUAAUAUUUAUUAAUAAAUUUUAAUUAAAUUUA